UUGUUCUGUCAUUUUGACGGGCUGGUAACUAGUUUAAAAAUAAAUAAAUCGGUAGUGGGGACAGCUAUGUGUAUCUUUAUGUUAACUUUAUUCUAGAAUGAACGGAUGUAGUGACCAGAAUAAAAUUGUGCCCUAAUCAUUAUACAGCAUCUUGAAAGCCCUCAGCACAAAAACGUUGUGGAGGGCCAAGAUUACAAGGCCCUGGAUGACCUUAUUGCCACCCUGUGCACGGACUGGGAGGAGCACUGAAGAUCAAAACACUUUCACCCAGUUCCUGUGUGUGCUGGACUGCUUGGGAGCCAUUAUCCGAUAUGCUGUGCUGUCACCUGCUGCGACUCCCGCAUCUCCAGCCGGAUAUGAAACACCUGAUCCUUAUGCACCACCAAAAAGCUCUGUGAGCAUAUCACUAUCACCAUCUAUCUUUAAAAAAAAAAAAAAA